AUUGAACGCUGGCGGCAGGCCUAACACAUGCAAGUCGAGCGGAUGAAGGGAGCUUGCUCCUGGCUUCAGCGGCGGACGGGUGAGUAAUGCAUAGGAAUCUGCCUGGUAGUGGGGGAUAACGUCCGGAAACGGGCGCUAAUACCGCAUACGUCCUGAGGGUGAAAGUGGGGGAUCUUCGGACCUCACGCUAUCAGCUGAGCCUAGGUCGGAUUAGCUAGUUGGUGGGGUAAAGGCCUACCAAGGCGACGAUCCGUAACUGGUCUGAGAGGAUGAUCAGUCACACUGGAACUGAGACACGGUCCAGACUCCUACGGGAGGCAGCAGUGGGGAAUAUUGGACAAUGGGCGAAAGCCUGAUCCAGCCAUGCCGCGUGUGUGAAGAAGGUCUUCGGAUUGUAAAGCACUUUAAGUUGGGAGGAAGGGCAGUAAGUUAAUACCUUGCUGUUUUGACGUUACCAACAGAAUAAGCACCGGCUAACUUCGUG
rnacentral:rRNA from 1 species